AGGCAGAGGCAGAGGCAGAGCCAGGGGCCUCUCUGCUCCCCCCUCCCCACCCUUGCCUACCCCCCAGCGGUCAGGGCUUGGACCAACCAGCAGGACUAGCUGGGGGAAUGCAGUGAACCCAAAAAGAGACAGGACUGUGUGGGCUGGUGCAGGGCCCGUUCUGGGAAAAAUUGGGAUCAGGUUCCUUUUUCAGGAGCUCCAGGCGCACGUAGGAGAAGCUGGCGGGGCCUCCAGUGCCCGGCAGAGGAGUCUAGAAGUGGCCGGGAGUCCGAGUCAUGGAAUGUUGGGAGCGGAGGUGGACCCUUGUCACCUAACUUGGGGGCUGGACUGGAGGGUCUGCUGGAAGACAGAGAGAGAGCGCGAGCAAGGGAGGGGCAGAGAGAGAGAGACACAGAAUCCGAAGCAGGCUCCAGGCUCCGAGAUGCCAGCACAGAGCCCGACGCGGGGCCCGAACCCACCAACCACGAGAUCAUGACCCGAGCCAAAGUCGGACACUGAGCCAACUGAGCCAUCCAGGCACCCCUGGGCUCUGCUGUUUUAAUGCAAAGGCCGCCAAUGUAAUAUGUAGGCCAUGAGAUGAGCUUCUAGAGGACAGGUCCCUCCAGAAUUCUGAUCUCCAGGCCCAAGGGAGGGAGACCCUCAUGGGGUCAGGGCUGCUGACGAGUGAAGGGAACAGGACUCGGUGGCCUGGUCAAAGAUGCUGACGGGGGGGGAGGGGGGGGGAAACGGGCUUGGAACAUGCAAGUUCCGGGAGGUUAGUCCGCUCGCAGCUGGAUGGGAGGGGGACAUGAUACAUGGGUUUUCAGGGUGAUGCUAGGGAAGGGAGGCUUGGUGUAGUUCAACAGUAGGGAGCCUUGGGGGGUUCUUGAGCAGAAGAGUGGCUUAAUAGUAUUACUAUUUGGGGCAAGGGCCCUUCCUGGCUUUCGAGGCAUUCCUUGGAGUGUCCAGAUGAGAGUCCUGAACAAGCCAUUGGAAGGCCCACGUUCAAGUUCGGGUUCUGCCUUUCAACUUCCUGCGAGGGCCUUUUCCUCCUGGGGCCUCACCUUCCACAUCUGUCAAAUGGGAGCAAUGACCCUUGCAGUGGGGGCCUCCUGGGUUUGCUCUAAAGGGCCAAAUAAAGCCUUGUCUCAAAGGACAUGUGAGAGCAGAGAGGCAGUCUUGAAGGAUGAUGCUGACGGCACAGAAGUCUCGUUAGUGGGUAUUGAUAUGUGCUAGGCACCGCGGGGGUGGUGAAGGCCAGGAGGGGGAGGGCACAGGCUUGCAGAGAGCUGGCCUGUUUCCGUGUCCCCGGCCCCUGGCGCAACUUGGGCACCCUAGGUGUGCGGCACUGGCGUGAAGGGUGCAGAGGCCUGAAGCGGGGUGUGGAUGGGAGCGGCUUGGAUCUCUGCGAGGUUGCUCUGAAAGAACCACAGCAAACCGUGACAUCGUCUGCACGCGCCGUGCCCCCUGUUCUCUAGGAACUGGACAUUGAGCUCCCUGUGGCACAUGACAUUUGGGCCUGAAUCCAAGCCGGAAGGCCCCCUCGUUUUACAAAUGGGGAGACUGAGGCCAGCAAGUGUCAAGGAUGGGCUCAGGGGCUCUCAGGCAGCCAGAGGCAGGCCGGUCCUGGCCCAGGCUGGGGCUCCACUGGAUUCUUCCCCAAGGGUCCCACCCAGACACUCCCCUGCAGCAUCAGAGAGUCCCGGCCACCGUGCCCUGUCCCUGGGAGACACAGAUGCCAAGACGUGCGGGGAGUUGGUGCCGCUAAUUAGUCACAUCAUUCUUGGCAUCUCACACAGCCUCGGGGAACUGGAGAAUGUCAUUGUCAAAGUAUUUUUGAAUAUUUGCCUUCUCAGCAAGUAGAUACUGUGAGAACACUCUGUCUUCCAUUCGGGCGGAUACUAACAAAAAUAACAAGCACCGUGAGCUAGAAGGAUCUGGGAGCUCGGGAGACAGGCCCGGAGGAAUCCCUGGUGCCGCCAGCCACAGCUGCAACACUCUGCCCUCUGGGCCUCGUGUCCUACCCUAAACUGGCUCAUUCACUCUUCAGAUAUUUAUGGAAGCCUGGUGUGUGCCCUGUAUUUCUCUGGGCCCUGGAGGAACCACUGUGAACAAAACAGACAGGAAUCCCUGCCCUCAAGGGGCUGCCGUCCUAAGAGGGAGUCAGACAGUAUAAAUCAAUAAGGUAGGCUAGCUGGGGGAGCGUGCAAAGGAAAAAUAAAGGGUGUUGGGUUGAGGGGCGUGGCCUUCUUCGAGAGAGUGGUCAGGGUGACUCACUGAGAAGGUAAGAUCUGAGUCAGGGUCUGAAGGAGGUGAGGAGUGAGCCCAGCAGAUUUUUGGAGAAAAGGAUUCCUAGCACAGAGGACAGCAGGUGCAAAGGCCCUGUGGUCUGGGGAUGCUUGGUUUGUUUGAGGAUCAGUAGGAAGGCCAGUGGUGCCAGAGCUGGAUGGUGACACAGAGAAGAUGAGAUGACAAGACGGUGUCCGACAGGUCACAGGGGCCUGCUGCGGAGGGCCUUGUAAACCACCGGAAAGCCUGUGUUUUCAUUCUGAGUAAGGUGGGAGCCACUGGAAGAUUUAGAACAGGGGAAUGACAUGAUCUGUUUUCUGCUUUAACCAUGUCCCUCUGGUGCUCAUGAGUCAAUGGCAGAGGCAGACGGGCCCGGGUGAGAGGUGACGGGGUCACAGCAGGGUGCAGGCAGUGGAAGAAGGAGAGGGGCUGGUUUCCACAUGUUUCCGUGGCAGAGUGGACGUUGGAUGUGGAGUGUGAGAGAGAGAAGCCAUGAUUCCUCUGGGUUUUGGCACAAGCAUGUGGGAGAAGAGGGGACGUGUCCCCGAGAUGGGGCCCGGGGUGGGCUCAGUGUUGUGACGUGUGUGGUGCCCAUGGGACAACUCUGGGCGGUGGCUGGGCUUGAGGGUGAGUCCCGGCUGGAGAUGACACAGAUUCGGGAGUCACUGGAGUCGAGGCGUUCUUUAAAGCCAGGAGCCCGCCUGAGGUCACUGAGGGGUGAACGAGAGCAGAGGCCUGGGGCUGGGACCAUGACAGCAGCAUCCCUCUGUCCCGCACAGGGCAGCACCUAGGGGGGCUCGGCCAAGACGCCGAUUUCCACAUCGUCACAAAAGCCACGGGGGUGCUCAGGCCCCUCCAUCCCAGACCACUGCCUCCUCCGGGACCUUGGGCCACCACCCAAGAAUCCAGGGCACGUCCUUUAGGCAAGAGCGGCGGGUGGGAAUGCCAGGGGACAGAGUGCAGGGUGUGAGGCUGUGUCUAGGUUCAGGGUCACCCUAAGCUACCCAUUACGGCCCAGCAUCCCCUGUGGGUGGGCUCCUGCAUUGAAUUGGAAGGCUGAGUUCCAACUUGGAUCCCUCAAUUCUUUGUGCGUGCCUGUGUGUGUGUGUGUAUGUGUGUGUGUUCGAAAUGCACGUAACAAAAUUCACCAUUGUAACCAUUUUGAAAUGUCCAGUGCAGUGGCGUUAAGGACAUUCACAGGGCUGGGUCACCACGUCUGCUGUCUGGUUGUAGAACUUCAUCGUCGAUGGUCGGACAAGACCGCGCGUACCCAUUAAACAUGACUCCUAUUUGUCCCCGCCAGGGCCUGACGACCACAAAGCUAGCUUCUGCCUCUAUGGAUUUGCCUGCUCUGGACAUUUCGCAGAAGUGGAACCAGACCCCGUGUGACCUCGUGGGGCCGGUUCCAUUCCUGCGGCAUCGCAUCGGGUCAAGGUCAUCCAUGACGCAGCCUGUGUCAGGCGUGGUUUGUUUCUUGUCAGGACUCGGUCCCCCAUUCUUGGCCGGUUCUGAGUUGGACAGUCCCCACCCUGCUUCAUCAGGCGGCCUUGAGGAUGGUUAAGUGGGAUAGGAAGAAGCAGGUCCCCGCGUCACAGCGCAGAGGGGGGGUCGGCGCCCACAGCAUGGGCAGGAGCCGUAAAAGGGGCUCGUGGGUGCCUUUGGGGGGGGUUGUGGCAGUCGGCUUCGCCAUCAGCCAGCCUUCCUCCCGGGCGGGGGUCGGUGACCACGCGGCCAUCUGGGCUUCCGGGGUUUGCUGCCAUUGUCUGUCCUUCCGCUGUCUCUGUCUGUUCUGGUUCUGUGGGCCCCGGGCGGGACUGAGGGUAAAUGGAUAGGCUCUACCACCAUCUUUCCUUUCCUUCUAAGAACUUCUGAGGUUUCCGAAGCAGCCCUUUGGGACGGGCCUCAUGCCCUCCUCGGAGGGGAAGUAGGGGCAGGGAGGCCUCCCAGAGGAGAGGGCCGUGGCCAGGUGACCGAGUGGGGCUGGCCUCGGUCUGUGCUCAGAAAAUGCGGGGCAUUUGGUGAAAGGGCUCUGAUGUCCCUCACUUUGCCCCCCACCCCCUUCAAAGGACGCCUCCCUCCCGGGACACCCAUCCAGAAGCCACCUGCACUGAGGCCCACCGUGUGCCGGGGCAGCAGGGGAAGAUGCCAGUGAGCUAGCCGUGAGGGCAGCAAGAGAGGAAGGACAGUGACUCUGGGGGUGGCCUCUCGGGUCACAACAGCCCUUCUCACGCCAGUGGCCACAGCGGCUCAGCGGGCCUUGCCUCCACCUGCGUCUCCCCCAGCAGCACCCCCGCUGGCGCCAUAAGGGGGACACAGGUGUACUGUCCCCGAGGCCAGCCACCGGCCAGGGACUGAAGCACACCCUGAGCAGGACAGACCUGGGCAGACAGACAGCUGGCCCCUGUGCCAGGGUGGAGUCUAGUGACGGAGUGUUAAGGGGACAAAGAGGGCUGUAACUGUCAUGGAGAUAAGGCUGAGAGGGGGGCGGUGGGGAGGAAGGAGGGGGGAGGCAGGCGGGCUGCUGGAGGUGGGGGGUGGGCAUGCUCUCUGAGGAGGUGCCCGCUAAAUACCGUGGAGGCAGCCUGUUAAGAUCUAGGGAAAGGUGUUCCAGGCUGAGGAACAGCCCACAGUCUGUGCAAAGUCCUGGGGGCAGGAGGGGAGGGAGAGGCGGGGAGUGGAGGUCAAGGAGGGAGGGGGGCCACCUCCUGGGGGGAGGGCAGCAGGAAGCCCCCCGGGGUGUUGUGAGCUGGAAGAGAUCCCUGUUUCCA